AGUGAACGCUGGCGGUAGGCCUAACACAUGCAAGUCGAACGGCAGCACAGUAAGAGCUUGCUCUUACGGGUGGCGAGUGGCGGACGGGUGAGGAAUACAUCGGAAUCUACUUUUUCGUGGGGGAUAACGUAGGGAAACUUACGCUAAUACCGCAUACGACCUACGGGCGAAAGCAGGGGAUCUUCGGACCUUGCGCGAUUGAAUGAGCAGAUGUCGGAUUAGCUAGUUGGCGGGGUAAAGGCCCACCAAGGCGACGAUCCGUAGCUGGUCUGAGAGGAUGAUCAGCCACACUGGAACUGAGACACGGUCCAGACUCCUACGGGAGGCAGCAGUGGGGAAUAUUGGACAAUGGGCGCAAGCCUGAUCCAGCCAUACCGCGUGGGUGAAGAAGGCCUUCGGGUUGUAAAGCCCUUUUGUUGGGAAAGAAAAGCAGCAGGUUAAUACCCCGCUGUUCUGACGGUACCCAAAGAAUAAGCACCGGCUAACUUCGUG
rnacentral:rRNA from 1 species